rnacentral:rRNA from 1 species
AUUGAACGCUGGCGGCAGGCCUAACACAUGCAAGUCGAACGAGUGGCGGACGGGUGAGUAAUGUCUGGGAAACUGCCUGAUGGAGGGGGAUAACUACUGGAAAUGGUAGUUAAUACCGCAUACCAUCGGAUGUGUCCAGAUGGGAUUAGCUAGUAGUGGGGGUAAAGUCUCACCUAGGCGACGAUCCCUAGCUGGUCUGAGAGGAUGACCGGACAAAGUGGAACUGGGACACUGUCCAAACUCCUACGGUAGGAAGCAGGGGGGAAUAUUGCACAAUGGGCGCAAGCCUGAUGCAGCAAUGCCGCGUGUAUGAAGAAGGACUUCGGGUUGUAAAGUACUUUAGGCGGGGAGGCGUUACCCGCAGAAGAAGCACCGGCUAACUCCGUGCCAGCAGCCGCGGUAAUAC